rnacentral:rRNA from 1 species
UACGAAGGGGGCGAGCGUUGUUCGGAUUUACUGGGCGUAAAGGGCGCGCAGGCGGCUUUGUUUGUCAGGCGUGAAAGCCCCGGGCUUAACCUGGGAACUGCGUUUGAUACGGCAGGGCUAGAGUUCGGGAGAGGAGAGUAGAAUUCCCAGUGUAGAGGUGAAAUUCGUAGAUAUUGGGAAGAACACCGGUGGCGAAGGCGGCUCUCUGGACCGAUACUGACGCUGAGGCGGCGAAAAGCGU